ensembl:snRNA
UUAUUAUAUGAAAGGACGGAAGGAUAACUCUCUCUUAACAAGGAUGAAAGUAGAUCUAGUAGCCAUUACAUCAUACAUAUGGUUAAGACAUUGCUGCCUACUCUUGGUCAUUUAACCAUGUUUUCCU